UAUCAAGAACGAAAGUUAGAGGUUCGAAGGCGAUCAGAUACCGCCCUAGUUCUAACCAUAAACGAUGCCAGCCAGCGAUCCGGCUGUGUUCCUCAAAUGACACGCCGGGCAGCUUCCGGGAAACCAAAGCUUUUGGGUUCCGGGGGAAGUAUGGUUGCAAAGCUGAAACUUAAAGGAAUUGACGGAAGGGCACCACCAGGAAUGGAGCCUGCGGCUUAAUUUGACUCAACACGGGAAAACUUACCCGGCCCGGACACAGGAAGGAUUGACAGAUUAAGAGCUCUUUCUUGAUUCUGUGGGUGGUGGUGCAUGGCCGUUCUUAGUUGGUGGAGCGAUUUGUCUGGUUAAUUCCGAUAACGAACGAGACUCUAGCCUACUAAAUAGACGUUCCGAUCAUUUUCGUCGGACGUUCUUCUUAGAGGGACAAGCGGCGUUUAGCCGCACGAGACAGAGCAAUAACAGGUCUGUGAUGCCCUUAGAUGUCCGGGGCCGCACGCGCGCUACAUUGAAGGAAUCAGCGUGUGCUUUCCCUGUCCGACAGGACUGGGUAACCCGUUGAACCUCCUUCGUGCUGGGGAUAGGGGCUUGUAAUUGUUCCCCUUGAACGAGGAAUUCCCAGUAAGCACGAGUCAUAAGCUCGUGUUGAUUACGUCCCUGCCCUUUGUACACACCGCCCGUCGCUACUACCGAUUGAAUGAUUUAGUGAGGUCUUCGGACUGGCGCUCGGAGCGGCCCUCGGGUCGCGCCGGCGUGCCGGAAAGAUGACCAAACUUGAUCAUUUAGAGGAAGUAAAAGUCGUAACAAGGUUUCC
rnacentral:rRNA from 1 species